ensembl:rRNA 5S_rRNA 5S ribosomal RNA
GUCUGUUAGCCAUAUCACCAUGAAUGCGCCCUAUCUCAUCUGAUCUUAUGAACUUAAGCAGGGUCAGGCCUGAUUAGUGCUUGGAAGGGAGACUUCAAGGGAAUACUGGAUGCUGUAGGCU